AACCUUGGCAUUCAAGGCAGAGAUCGCCAGGCAAGCAUCAGGCCAGACACUGGGAGUUAUCCUGAGAGCCUGGCCGCACGCUGACAGGGCCCCCCUUUGGGGACAGAAUUCCAAUUGCGGGCCGCGGCUGCCGCCUGGGAGAGGACGCUGCGCUCCGCCUCCGAGAGAAGGAAGAAGCAGGAAUGCAGGGGCUUCUGUGGGCUCCGUGCUUCCAGCCUUCUGGGAGAGAGAGGAAGACCCUUGGGCUCAGAACGAGCCGGUCUUCCUAGCUAGCCUCCGGCAAGGCUUCUAGAAGGGGAGGCUUGUCAGAGGAGCAGGACAGAUAGGGGUUGGGGACAUGGAAAGUUUUUAGCCUUUUUAUUUAAACUGCCGGGGGUCUUCUACUUCAGGUAAUGAGCUAUUCCCAGAGGAAAGCAAACUUGAUCCCCUAUCUCCAUUAAUGGAAGGAAAGUGGAUACUUAACUGCAUGUGGCCAGUGAGAUGCUGGCAAGGGUUUUUGCACCAAUGUGGGCUCCAGGGUCACAUCCAUGUGGGGGUCUCUAUGGGAGAGAUGAUGAAAAGGAAGGGAGCAAUUUUAGAACCACAGGGUCUCCCUCUGCAGGCUGGAGGGGGACACUCCAGAGUAGAGAGAAGACCUUUUAGAGAUAGAAGAAUCAGUGUGCCCACAGGAGCCCCAGAGAAAGAGCAACAAGUAUCCCCCACCCCCAUAUGGCUGUCAGGACUUUUUUGUGUUUAACAAAGGAAGACAGCUGGGUGCCCUGUAGGACUGGUUGAAUUCCAUUCUGUGUAAGGUGUGUGUGUGUGUGUGUGUGUGUGUGUGUGUGUGUGUGUGUGUGUGUGUGUGUGUUCUGUCCCAGGAUCUGCCAGAUGGAAUCACAGCUGGAGCUGUAGGUAAGAGAGAGGACAGGCUCUGGUUGGUCUUCUACCUCCUGCUUCCUAAAAAUCCCUUGUAAGUCAGGCCCCUGCUGGCUGAUAGGUGUGGCUUGCCAAGGAUCAAGUGGCUGGCAUCAGGGAUAAAUUCUCAUCAGGGUGAAAGGAAUUGUAAGUUAGAGUAGCCAACUUGAGCCACUUGGCCAAGCUGGGGCAGAGCCACACAGAGGCAAAUGUCUUGGAGAGCGAAGCUGGCAUCUCCAGGGCCUGCCAGGCUUAAGAAGGUGGAGAAAGGCGAAGCUGACAUCAUGCUCUUCUAGGCCAAUGGCCAUUCUGAGAUGGCGUUCUGACCCAUCCAGAUUCCUGCAAAGCCAGAUCCACUGAGAUGGUUCCCAGAAAGCAGUCUGAGGUGACAUGUGGAACAUGACCUUGUCAGUUUAUCAAUCGUGAAUGAUAUGACAUGACAGAAGGCAAAUGAUCAAGACUGGGGAGCCUUGUGCCUUUGCUAACCCAGAGUCCUGGUCUCAACAGGGCAUAGGCUUGUAAACCAGAGGGACCAAAACCAAGUCACCUUAGCAAGUGAACAUUCUUGAUUUUAUUGCCAUCCUACAGAUGAGAAAACUCCGCCACAAUGAACUGUUGUGUCCAAAUCACGGGACCAGUGAAAUGAGAGCUGGGACUUCAUCUGGACACUAUGUUGGCUUGGGGAAAGCAAGAGAGAACAAAAUACAUUGACCAACCUCAUGGCUCAAGGAAGGUGACUGGGGAACCAUUUAAAACUUACCAGGAUCUUAUUUGCCUCCGGAACUGCAUAUCUAAAAGCCAAGGUCAAACACACUCUGCCUUCUCUUCUGCUUCCUGUGCAUGACCCCAAAGAUGACCUCAGAGACUCAGCUGCUGUCACCAAACUGGAAAGCACCUGAUGUCAGGUCGUGCACACCGGUUAUCUCCUACUUCCUAAUCUGUGCACGUGAGUGUCGGUGAGAGCUGGGGCCACCGAGGAACUGAAACUGCCUGACUGCCUGCCUUCUCAGGGAGCAAUUUCACCUUCUCUGCACCCAGCAUGCGUGAAUGGACACCCAAGACUUCUCUACAAGCCCCUUUUCACCUUCCUGCCCCUGCCAUCCUAACCACAGGAUGGUGAGGGCAAAAAUCCACCGUGUAAAUAAGAGAUCCUCUUCUAGUCUGCCUCUGCCCUUCUGUCUCCUGGGAAGAAAGUAGAAGAAAGAAACCAUGACUAUUUGUUUUCUCUCGGUCACUCAGUCCCUGGAGCCAAUUGAUUCACACGCAAGGGGGGAAAAAAUCCGCACAGACAGGUCUGAAGUCAAUCAUCCACAACAGGCUUUCAACAAAAACUUUAUUAGUACCACGUUGGCCACAGAGUGGACGAGGAACUGCCGGUAAUUAUGCUGGGACCCUUGCCGCAAUGCCUGCUUCCAGAGCUACAGCUGCGCUCCAGAGAGAUCAUUAGUCGGUAUGCACAUGUUAUUGAGGGCAGUGGUGUCAUCGCCGGUUGAAGAUGCCCUCAGUCAAGUGUGAGAGCCGGAAAUGGAGGUCAAAAUAAUUAACCUCCUGUGAUUUUGUGCUCCUUGCAAAAUCAACCAUGUGCAGCUCAUAUUUCAGCAGAACAAUAUAAUCAUUUGUUCACAAGUCUCUCUCUUUCUCCCUUCCUCCCUCACUCGUCUUUCCUCCUUUCUGUCUCUCAAUCCAUCUCAUUGGCUAGCUUUUCUGUAUUCCCUUCCCACCCUAACAGCAGGCUGUCAUAACCCACUGCACCCAUAGGCAUCGCUGGAUAGGGCUUAGUACCCUCACCCAUUGCUGUCACACCGACUCUCUAAAGAACAGCAGAACGUGUUCCCUUUGUAAAAGCUUCUCUUGACCCCAUUUCAGUUCACCCACUCUCUCCUGCACCACACAGGAAUUAUGCAUCACUGUAGGAGUCACAGCCAAAGCAUCCACCAUCCACUCUACUUACGGAACACUCCUACCUGGCUGGUGGCAGCAUUACAAGGGGCCAGCCUGGGGUUGUAGAAAAGUCCAUGUGCAGAGAGGAGCUAAGGGUAUUUGCCAAGUUGUAAAGAACAAGAUGUUGAAUGAGGUGCCCUUCAGAGUGUGGGGUGUCUGAGCCUUCAUUCUGUUCCCUCAUUCAGCCAGCCAUCCUUUUCAUCCAGCAAUGUAUGCUAAAUGUUGAUCGCAUGGUAUAGGAUUCUCCACUGUGUGCAUUUUGUAACUGGUGUGAACCAUUUUAUUAAUUAAAGAUGUCAUUAUA
rnacentral:sRNA from 1 species